AGACAGCAGCAGCCGCGGUAAUACAGAGGGUGCGAGCGUUAAUUGGAUUUACUGGGCGUAAAGCGUGCGUAGGCGGCUUUUUAAGUCGGAUGUGAAAUCCCUGAGCUUAACUUAGGAAUUGCAUUCGAUACUGGGAAGCUAGAGUAUGGGAGAGGAUGGUAGAAUUCCAGGUGUAGCGGUGAAAUGCGUAGAGAUCUGGAGGAAUACCGAUGGCGAAGGCAGCCAUCUGGCCUAAUACUGACGCUGAGGUACGAAAGCAUGGGGAGCAAACAGGAUUAGAUACCCGGGUAGUCCCUGUCUCUUAUAC
rnacentral:rRNA from 1 species